ACAACCCACGAUUUAUGGAUUGUGGGAAAUGGCUAACCGUCUCAGUGCGUGGGUUCGCGGACAGGCAAGCUGCAGCCUGAAAGCUUUUCCACGGCGGGGCCAGGAGGUUUUAAACGCAGUGCCGCCGCUGUGUUUCUGUCUGGUUCUGACCUGUUAGCUAUACAAUGCUAGCAGCGACCAGGUCUUACAGCGGCACUAAGGGCUCGUGCCCGGCCCGGCCCGCUAGCCUUCCGGCAGAUCCUUCUACUCCCUCCCGCUGAGCGGCUCUGUGUCCCCCGGACACGGAGAGAUUAACCGUGCAGACCCGGUUCGGUUAGUAAGCGCUCCGUGUGGAUUAAACACCUGAACAGAACUCCUCUCUGACCUUAGAACCGCUCGACAAACCCUCAGCGGCAAAGCAGCUGCAGUGUUUGCGCUAUAACACAUGUCUUGAAGGAGUUCCUGGAGGAGCUGAACAAGAGUUGCUGCCAUUCCUUCACGCUGCGAAGCUCCAGCUCACCCCAGAUCACACAUCGGUUUAGGCUCUGCCACAGUCUUCAGGGAACAGGGUUUAACCCCUAGAACACCUAUUCUGCCUGUGAGAUACACUACAGUGCCCUUCAUGCACUACGACACCAGGGGCACCAUGGGAAAAAGUCUAUAUAAGUCAAGUCAAGUAGUUUUAUUGUCAAUACUGCAUAUGUGCAGAGGAUUGAAAUGAUGUCUCUCUCCUUUCCAAAGUUACAGCAAGUACAGCAAAAUAAAAGGAUAAAUGAUAAAAGAGUGAGAGACACUAAAUGAACAAUACAACAAGGUCACAGAUAUGGACAUAUAAGUGCAUAUCGGAAUAUUGGCAGUUUUUAACACAGUUUAUUAUUGAGUAAUUUUAGACAAGCUCUAUUGGACCAAUUGUUAUGAUUUGAUGAAAUGUAUCAUUCUUCUUUAUUACUGCUCAACCAGAACAGAUCAAUUUUGAUUCAGCAAUAAGGCCUAAUUGAUAUGCUGGAUGCUCCUGCAAUUGAUAAAUCAAACAAUGACUAAAUUAAAAUUAUAUAUAAGCCUGUUCUCUAGCAGCCACAUACAUUUGGAGCCCAAUAUAUAAAAUUCUAGCUUCCCGAUACAUACUAAAAAAACAGAGGUACGAUAGAAGUACUUCCUUUUCAAAAUUGUACCCUAAAAAAUAUUAUAUUGGUAUUUACAGGGUCAGAUGUGUUCCCUCUGAAUUACAAAGUCUUUCCAAACAGCAGGAAGCACAGAUUUGUACAAUUUAAGCAGCCAAAAGGUACAUUCGGUAUUCUGGAUCACUGUACUUACAAACAGUAUAUAAUUUAAUUCUACAUUUUUUAUUUGAAAGCUAGACAAUUUUGGAUAAUCAAGCUCUUGACACAUAUCCACUUGAUGAUGAUGUGUAUAAUCUUUACCUACAAAAACAAAACAUGGGUACAAAAAAAAACUUCAAUAUAAGGUACAGCCCCAGCAACAAGAUUUGUACUUUUUUAAGUACAAAUCUGUACUUAUUUUUUUUAGUGUGCCAGACAUUUGCUUGCUAUGUGUCUCUUAGUGAUUUGGGAUAAGUAGGACCUAGUAAAGUAUAAAAACUGUCUUUGUACACAAAGUUUAUUCUAAUGUCCUCAUAUGGGACUGGAUGAUCCCUGCCAUUUAGGAUCAAAAGGACCCAAAAAGUGUAAAACCAUUUUUUUUUAUCUUUCUAUAGUAAGUGCAUAAACUAGUUUUAAACAUAUAAUUCAAUGAGAAUUUUUACCUGCCACAAGUUUCUGUCUAGACUGGCUGUAAACACAUUUGACUGGGAUUUCCGCCAUCUUCUUUUCAAUCAAUUGAGGGUAAUGUUGUCAUGUGACCACUAGAUGGUACAGGCAGUGUCCCCAUAUGGCCAAAGGUUCAACAUUUCAACCUGUUCAAAGUUUCAAGGUGUAGAGAAGCAGAAAUGUAAAGGCUUCAUAUGAGGAUGCAGGAUCUCAAGAGGUUAAACAGGUUAUUUUCUUUUUUUUUUUUUUUUGUCAACAAAAAUGUUUGCAAAAAAAAAAAUAAUAUUAUUAAUUAUAUUAAAAAUAUGUACUAAAUGACAGCAAAUGGCAAAUGUAAAAUUGCUGCCUCAGGUUGAGGACACAAAACCUACACUAAUGAGCACAAGACAAGUUCAAGAAUAAAGAAGAUAAAGUUUAUUCAUUUUUGUGGCUAGAAUCAAAAGUCAAAACGAGUCAAAUUUUGGAUUUAUGAUGUUCAUUUCUGUAACGCUUAUGCUAGCUAAGGUUAAGGUAAGAGCUAACCUGCUCAGGAAAAAAAAUAGCCAGCUUGUCAUCUGUCUUGUAGUCCGUCUGGGCUCUAAGCUCUCUCCAUCUAUCAGACAAAUUGCCAAUGUUUCCUUGUCUUUUACUCUGUCACUGGUCAUAAAUCUUUUUUAGAAGGAUGCUAAGGCAGAAGAAUGCUGUGUUGUCCUGCUAUUGUGUUCCAUACCAGGCAACCCGCGUUGUGGAAAUAGGAUGGGGGAAUGGGCAGUGGGUGGGAUCACAGGCUAAAAACAAACAGAUUUCUGCUUUGUAACAGACAGUUCAAAGAAAAACAUACUUGCUGAAGCUUUGCUGUCAAGAGAUUCCACUGCUCAAACUACUCAGCAUGUUUCCUUAAUAUUUAAUUAUGACACAUGGAUCAUUGUCUUGCUGCAGAAUCCAAGGUCACAAACUGAUGGACAGACAUUCUUCUUCAGAACUGUCUAGUAAAGGGGAAAAUGUAUGGUUCCAUUAAUUACAGCUAGGCCUUUUUGUUAUUUUUAGUCAUGAGCGGUUUUUGCCUUUGAACUCUUCCAUGGAUACCGUUUUCACUCAUUUUCUUCCUUAUUAUUGAAUCAUUAACACUGUUUUUAACUUAGGCAGUGUUAAUGACCAGUAGUUCUCUAUCUGUUGUUUUGUGUUCUCUUGGGACCUCCUGGAUGAGUUGUCCAUGCCCUUUUGGAGUAAUUCUGGUCAUCGGCCACUACUGAAGAGGUUCAACAGUUUCCAUGUUUUCUUCAUUUGUGAAUAAUAGCUCUCACUGUGAUUGGCUGGAGUCCCAAAGCUUUAGACUUUAGAAAUGACUUUGUAGUCAGACUAAUAGAUAGUUAAUAACUUUGUUUUUUUUUUCUGCAAGGGGGCAAAUACUUUUUCAUGGCAUUGUAUAUACCUAAAAUAUACCUCAAAUAACAAAAUUACAAUAAAAUAAAAAUGUAAAAAUGUAUAAAUCCAGAAACAACACAAAACUGCAGAAACUCCUAUACAGAACUAGAACUAAUGACCUACUGAUAACCUUCAGUUCAAAGCAUUUCUCAUUACAUCAACAUCACUUUUGUAUUUUGUUCUUCACAAGGCGUUCUGUCCAUACGGUGAGUGCCCUGCUGGGCUGACUGAUUUAGACAAAACAUCGCCUCUCUCAGCUUCUUUAUUCUCUUGACAGCAGCAGACUGUGGCUGUGGCAGUGACAGGGGCAGAGAGUAGUAGCUGGGAUACAGACAGACAGAUUCUGGCUGUGGAGAUGAUUGGACAGGUCUAAGAAUAACCUCAGUGACCGGUCAGCUCAGUUUAUCUGGUUCUUACACAUGCAUUUACAACACAACAGCAUGGCAAGUCCAUACAUUGAAAAAAAUAUUUAUUGGCUCAACCUAACUUAGUCAAAUCGUCAUUUUGCUUUGACUCAGUUAAGUUGUAAAUUUAUUGAAUUUUAAGGUCAUUCAACUUAAUUCAGUCAAGUUAUAAUUUUGAUUUGACUCAGUUAAGUUGCAAAUAUAUACAAUUUUAAGUUUAUUCAACUUAUUCAACACUAGGUAGGAUUUCUUAGAAGUAAAAUUACAGCUUGAAACUCACUGCAGCGCUCCAUUGAGGUGUAAUAGGAGGAAUAGUGGUGCUCUCGUGUCUGUGCCAGGCUCCUCUGAGCUCAAACUAGACUCCUAGGUGAGUUUUCCUAGGUGGCCGUGACCAACGCUUGUGAGAACUGCGCCUCUUUCGAGAACUGCGACCUGCUUUCCGACCUGUAUGUAGUGCUAUUUGGAGUUGGUUAAUUCUUUACAGAAGCUAAUCUGUAUCUGUUCGAAUCUGUUCUGUUCGUCUGUGCUGUACUAUUGUGAGGAGAAGCUCCAGUGAGUUCAGAUAAGUACCAGAUGAAGACAGAUAAAGUAGAUCAGGGUAUUUCUGUUUUGUAAGAAGCUUAAAAUGUUAAUAAGAGAGUUAAAUGGUUAUUAAAACAACAAGAGUGUAAAUAUGUGAUGUAUAAGUUGAGUUAAAGUGUUUGUUUUAUCUGCUAAAGCUGUAGGCUAGCAGGCGGAAGCUAGCAGCGAUUAGCAUUAGCGAUCGGGUUAAAUGUGUAAAUAUAUCAUGUUAGGUGUAAAAUAUGGCUGUUUGUAAGCUUAGCUUGCAGUAAAUUGCCACAAACUGAAAUAUAGAUUUUAGUCUGGGGCUUGUAAAAGAAGAAGAAAUGUCUUGUUUCAGUCGUGAUUACAAUAAAGUAAACAUUUCAUGCUAAAAGAGACAAACUGAUGAUGGUUGUAAUUAUUUUCAUGUGCUUUUUACUUUCUGAUGGAAAAGUAGCGGAGGAGGGUGGUUUAUCUAUCUAUUUGCAGCAUGUUAUUUGUUAUCUGUUACAGUAGCAUAUUUUACCUAAGUUGUUCCAAAUACAUAUUUUCCAUUGUGUCAGCUACAUGUGUUUAGUUCAGUUAAUUAUCAAGCAGUAUCAAAAUUGCCCAAACUGCUAAUUUUAUGCUGCAUCAAGUAAAUGUAAAAUAUAUUGAAUGUAAUUAAAGAAAACACAGAAAAUGUAACACUUUCUUUUAACAAAUGCUUUUUUAUGUGUCUUGUUAGUUGGCCUCAUUUAUGUUCUAUAAAAUGUGUUUUGUAAGU